CCUACGGGAGGCAGCAGUGGGGAAUUUUCCACAAUGGGCGAAAGCCUGAUGGAGCAACGCCGCGUGUGUGAUGAAGGUCUUCGGAUCGUAAAGCACUUUCGACCGGGACGAAAAACCUCUGGCUAACAUCCAGGGGCCUGACGGUACCGGGAGAAGAAGCACCGGCUAACUCUGUGCCAGCAGCCGCGGUAAUACAGAGGGUGCAAGCGUUGUUCGGAAUUAUUGGGCGUAAAGCGCGUGUAGGCGGCUUGGCAAGUCAGAUGUGAAAGCCCAUGGCUUAACCAUGGAAGUGCGUCUGAAACUGCCGAGCUUGAGUGCCGGAGAGGAUGGCGGAAUUCCGCAAGUAGAGGUGAAAUUCGUAGAUAUGCGGAGGAACACCGGUGGCGAAGGCGGCCAUCUGGACGGCAACUGACGCUGAGACGCGAAAGCGUGGGGAGCAAACAGGAUUAGAUACCCUGGUAGUCCACGCUGUAAACGAUGAGAACUAGGUGUCGUGGGUGUUGACCCCCGCGGUGCCGUAGCUAACGCAUUAAGUUCUCCGCCUGGGAAGUACGGUCGCAAGAUUAAAACUCAAAUGAAUUGACGG
rnacentral:rRNA from 1 species